AGCUUUGUGCAGUGGCAGUAUCGUAGCCAAUGAGGUUUAUCCGAGGAGUGAUUAUUGCUAAUUGAAAAUACAUAGGUAAACCAG
ensembl:snRNA U4 U4 spliceosomal RNA